AUGUCUCUCAGGGCUGUGUCCUUAAUUUUUUUAAUUUUUUUUUUGGUAGAGACGGGGUCUGGCUAUGUUGCCCAGGCUGGUCUUAGACUCCUGGCCUCAAAUGAUCUUCCUGCUUUGGCCUCCCAAAGUGCUGGGAUUACAAGCGUGAGUCUGUGCAUGAUGGGGACAACGGGCCAGGGCAGGUCACCAGUGAGAGCAGGCUGCUCUCAGGACGCCCCUGUGAGGGACCCGCUGCCCACCAUGAACUUUCACAGAAUGAGGGUUUCAGCGCCGCUCACCACCGGGAUUCGGACACAUGGACAGAGGUGGAUGAAGCACAUACCUGACGCUCCGCGAGCUUUCUCCUUCAAACCUGCAACGAGAAGAGCACGUGCUUAGAGCCCAGAACCCUCUGCUCCGGGAGACCUGCACGACGAUAGUAGAUGCGGGGACCCUGACGUCCCUAGCUGCUCCCAGCGUCCCCUCCCCAGCCUCAGCAGACAUCCCCAGGCCCAAUCCUCCAGGGUCUCUUGCUGCUGUUCUUUUGACCCGGAACUGUAUUCAGAAAAUCCACUCUUCUUGGAAGACUUAGGGUUCCUUUCCCACCCUCUUCCAGUUUCCAUCACCUUGACUGCAAUUGUUUUCCCAAGAUUUGAAUACACCCCAGGAGUCGAGAGCAAAGCCAGAGGAGGGUCUAUGGUUCCAGAACUCUGACCUGGGCAGCAACUAAAUGAAUGAAUGAAUAAAUGAGAGCAGUGUGACUGGCCUCACUGCACCCCCUACUUGGUAUUUCCAGUGUAUUUCCCCAGAACCAGCUCUAUUUUCAAGUAUCAGAAAUCAAUUACAACCACAUUACAAAGGAGACAAGCUUGAAUGUCAAGAAAUUGGACAAUCAGAUUGUACUGCACAGUUGAACUUUCACGGAGACUGUGACUAUGCGGUGUUGACAGCGAUCCCUUCCUGCUCUGUACACCAAAGGAAAGGGACUUUGGGAUUAAACCACACGCAGCUGAUGGCUAAAGCCUCGCUUGGGCUUCCUGGGUCUUAAGGAGCAAAGGGCUUUGAGCAAACACAUUCAGGAAUCUAAUCCCUGGAUGUCCCAAAUUGGAUUUUAUUGCCAGAGAGCUAGAAAAAUAAAAACAUACUUAACCCAAAGUCAGAUAUUUGUCUUUUUGUUCAUUGCCUUUUCAGUAACGUCCCAGACCAGAAGUCAGAGCACAUGCUGCACGGCCCAUAAGCAUAGCAAGCCCCAGGGGAUGCCUUUCCCACUGAACCAAGCUUGCCCACAGAUUCAGACCCGGCCUCCCUUGGUGCUGCCCAGCCUGGUCACGCUCACCAGUAGCAAAUGAGACAGAAGGCAGGUAGUCCCCAGCAAUGUGUGUUCCAGGUGCCUGAGUGCAAACCCCUUGUUCUAGAAGGACCUUGGUCUCCCUGUCCAGCAAUUCUAAUUCAGCAUUGGAUCACACAGUCCCCAGGACAGCAGGUGAGGUGGUGAUGUGAGACGGGAAUGGCUCACAGACACCUGUGGCAUCUCCUUGACCCUGGGGGCCAUGGGACAAGGUGCAGACCAGUCCCUGGUGGCUGAAGACCCUCCAGAGAAUUCCCAGGAAGCCUGAUGAUGGGGAGAGGUGAUCCCAGGAGCAGCUUUUGAAAAUUCUUAAUUUUUUGUUUUUGUUUUCCAUUUGAUCAUAACCAGGACAGAAAAGACAGCAAGCAGAGGCCAUGUGUGUGUGUGUGUGUGGUGUGUGUGUGUGUUCUUCACUUCAUCGCCAUCUUAGGUUGCUCACCCUGGGGAAGCAACCCAGGGUGCCCUGUUCUGUGAGCAGAUCCUCCGGAAGUGGCCCAGGUGGUGAGGACCUGAGCCCCCUGCCACCAACCAUGUGUGUGAGCCCAGAAGCAGAUUUUCCACCCCUCGCUGCUGCAGCCCUAGGCAACAUCACGACCGCAAUCACAUGAGCGCCCCAGAGGCAGAGCCACUAGCCACACUGUUCCUGCGUUUCUUACCUCAGAAGGGAGAGGUAGGGUGCCCCAGUCCCCUAUGCACUGACCGAGAAACACAGGGUGCAACCGGGCCCCGCUGACGGACAUGCCUGAGCAGGCAGCUCCUUUCUCUCUGUCCAUCGCAAUGACACCACAGGCCUAUGUGUUUAAGUUCCCUAAUAAAUGCUGUGGACUGGUCACCCAGGUGUUCAGGGAUCCUUUCUUCAGAGUGACAACUGACUCCAGCUUGCGAACAUUUGGGGCACUCCUGCAGGAAACUCCCCUGCUUUAGGGUGACUCCAACUAUGGGUUCAGCAGGACAGAACACAAGACCAACGAUAUUUGCUGUCUUCAGCUCCUACGUUUUGAGGUCACUUGUCACAUGGUACUUGAUAGCUAACACACAGCUCCUCCUCUGCGCCUCUAUCCCAGAUCUCUGUCUUGUGGCCUUCACUCAGGACCACGUGAAGCUCUCUACUUAUGUCUCUUAGGGUCUGUCUGCCUCAGUGGGACGAAAAUGCCAUGAGGGUAAGGGUUUUGUCACGUUCACAGCAGGGUCUCCAGUGCUUGUUAUGUGGCUGAGGCAUAGCCAUGCAGCCACGCCAGGAGCUCCACAUUCUGGGACGCCAGGGGACAAGCACUGACCCUGAGCCAUCAGACUCUCCUGGGUCUCAGUUCCAGCUUCACCCCUUACUGGCUUCCAGGUGGCCUCAAAAGUCACUUAAUCUCCAUGAGCCCCAGUUUCCUCAUUUGCGGAUUAGGGAUGACAGCAAUUGGCCCCUAAAAUGUGGUGAGGAGAUAAGUAUGUUCCUGGCACAAAGAGGUUGAUGAAUAAAGCUGCUUCUCUCACCACCUACCCAAGGUGUGGUUUGAGGAAGCGAUCAUGCUCUGGGCCAUUAGGCUGCUGCAGGGCUGCUCAGAGGCUGACCUGCGGGGGCCUGCAGGGAAGGGAACAUCUGGAGGAGAUGGUGCCUUCCACACACUGGAACCCAGCAUGGGGCCUGGCACUGAGCAGGCUCUAGGAAGUGUCUGCUGUGGGAAGCCAGGACUGCACUGGCCCAGAACCCACACUCCAACAGCAAUACACAGUGGAGUCAUCUUUUACACCAAGGAUGGCACAUGCAGAGGAUGCCCUGGAGCCCCUGGCAUAACAUCGCCCGUCCUAUGGCCAAAGGAGCAAUAAUGUGGGAAGAAAAGUGAGAGGGGCUGGGCAGCCUCUGGGGUGGAGGAUGCCUGUGCGUGUGUGCCUGUGCAUACAUGUGUGCAUGUGUGUACAUGUGUGGAGUGCACUGUAUGUGGGUGUGCCUGUAUGUGCGUGUAUGUGUGCCCAUGAUUAUGAUGGCACUCAGCAUGGGCAAGGAAGCAGAUGGUCAGGAGCAUCCUGGAGCCUUCUGGUUCCUGCAGAUAAAGCUGAGAUCUAGGAACAGGGUGAUCCCCAAUGCCUUUGCAUGGGCUGUCCCUGAGGCAGACCUGGAGAUAAGGGUUCAGCUACGAGUUAAUUUGGGAAGUGAGAAGAGAAAGGGGCUAGGGAGGUGGGAAAAGAAAGAGAAGGGGGUUAACAAUGGCACCGCAUGAUAUCCACCACUGUGGGAAGCUAGGGCUCAGUUUACCUGGGAGCCCUAGAAACCAGUUCAAGCUGCCUCCAGCUCUCUUACCCCAGGGCCAAAGCAGCUGGGAGUGGCCGAAGGCUGCUCCUGGGGAGGGUAAGUCUGCACGCAUCAGACUGCCUCACAGGUGGCCGAGGAGCUCCCCGGACAAGGAGAGCCUCUGGCCGUCCUCACGAGAGCACAGUGGAUAACCAAUCCUUCCUCCAGCUGGCUCUUAGACGGCCAAGGCUCAAGUGAUUGUGUUUGUCGCUCUUGUUCCUCUUCUGUGGUAGAACCUGCAGACUGCCCCGUUCACUGUGUGUGCAGCCCCCCUUCCAUGAUCACUGGACUUGAGCCUCUGGAAAACUGAAAUCUACCUUUCCCAGAUGCCCUUGCAGCUCUCGUUCUGCGAAUGUUCUCAGCUCCUCUGGACAGAGGCCUGCCCAGACUGAGAAGAUGGGCAUGAAAGAUGAGAAGCAGGGUGGAGAAAAGAGCUCCUGGCUGGAAGGGAAGAGAGGCAUCUGGUCCUCCCAAAGCAACUGGCUCCAGUGUCCAGGCUUGAGCCUCACAGGCAGUGGGGUUUCUAUGGCAACAGUCAGGUGGAUUUAGGUGAUGGUCCAGGUUGUGUUGUUCCUGGCUAUGGGAUAUCCAAGCUCGGUCCUGGACUCUCAGUCAAAACACAUGGAAAUAAAUCCCUCUUAGCUCAAACUAGAAAAAGUAGAUUCUGUUGUCUGCAACUAAGUGCCGUGACUGAUCCAAAUUCAAGUUCUCAAAUCACCAUGAUUGUUUUUCUUAUAUGGCGUGAUGUAGAAAAGCAUAAGAAAAACAAGUAAAAACCAUCUCUAAUCCUACCACCUGGAGGUAAUC
ensembl:lncRNA